GCUUGUCUCAAAGAUUAAGCCAUGCAUGUCUAAGUAUAAGCCUUUAUAUGGUGAGACUGCGAAUGGCUCAUUAAAUCAGAAACUGUUUAUUUGAUAGUGCCUACUACAUGGAUACCUGUAGUAAUUCUAGAGCUAAUACAUGCGACAACCCCUGACUGCUUGCAGAAAGGGCGUAUUUAUUAGAUACAACCAACCCUUCGGGUCCCUGGUGAAUCAUAAUAACUUAGCGAACCGCAUGCUUCGGCGGCGGUGAUUCAUUCAAGUUUCUGCCCUAUCAGCUUUCGAUGGUAGGGUAUUGGCCUACCAUGGCGGUGACGGGUGACGGAGAAUUAGGGUUCGAUUCCGGAGAGGGAGCCUGAGAGAUGGCUACCACAUCCAAGGAAGGCAGCAGG
rnacentral:rRNA from 1 species